GAUGAACGCUGGCGGCGUGCCUAAUACAUGCAAGUCGAGCGAACAGACGAGGAGCUUGCUCCUCUGACGUUAGCGGCGGACGGGUGAGUAACACGUGGAUAACCUACCUAUAAGACUGGGAUAACUUCGGGAAACCGGAGCUAAUACCGGAUAAUAUAUUGAACCGCAUGGUUCAAUAGUGAAAGACGGUUUUGCUGUCACUUAUAGAUGGAUCCGCGCCGCAUUAGCUAGUUGGUAAGGUAACGGCUUACCAAGGCAACGAUGCGUAGCCGACCUGAGAGGGUGAUCGGCCACACUGGAGCUGAGACACGGUCCAGACUACUACGGGAGGCAGCAGUAGGGAAUCUUCCGCAAUGGGCGAAAGCCUGACGGAGCAACGCCGCGUGAGUGAUGAAGGUCUUCGGAUCGUAAAACUCUGUUAUUAGGGAAGAACAAAUGUGUAAGUAACUAUGCACGUCUUGACGGUACCUAAUCAGAAAGCCACGGCUAACUACGUG
rnacentral:rRNA from 1 species